rnacentral:misc_RNA from 1 species
GAUGAAGAACGCAGCGAAAUGCGAUAAGUAAUGUGAAUUGCAGAAUUCAGUGAAUCAUCGAAUCUUUGAACGCACAUUGCGCCCGCCAGUAUUCUGGCGGGCAUGCCUGUUCGAGCGUCAUUUCAACCAUCAAGCCCUGCUUGCGUUGGGGUCCUGCGGCUGCCCGCAGGCCCUGAAAACCAGUGGCGGGCUCGCUAGUCACACCGAGCGCAGUAAUACAUCUCGCUUUGGGCGUGCGGCGGGUUCUUGCCGUUAAAAACCCCCUUUUUACCAAGGUUGACCUCGGAUCAGGUAGGAAUACCCGCUGAACUUAAGCAUAUCAAUAAGCGGAGGA